AUUUGGACAAUUUAUGUUAGAAUAAUUUUUGAAAAAAAAAAUACACGAAGAAGAAAAAAAAAUCUAUUUUAUUUUUUACUUUUCUCUUUUUUUCUUUUUCUUCUUUUCUUCUUUCUUUCCUUGUUUACUUUCUUUUUCUUUCUUCCCUUUCCUUUUCUUUUUCUUCUCCGCCGCUCCCCUGCUUUUCCCUUUUUCCUUCUUUUCCUUCGUUCGUCCGCCGCCGCUGCCCACGCUCCUCAUCUCCUUCUCGCGCGCAGCCAGCGCGCUUCCAGCUCACCCACGCAGCUCCUCCUCCUCUUCACGGCCAUCAACUCUCCACCAACGCCGUUGCCCACCCCAGCUUUCCUCUCUCCCUCGCGCGCCACCAGGAGCUGCCGCGAGCCCGCGUGCCCUCCGUACCUCUGCCGCGCCUCUCUCUAGCGUUCAUCUCUCUCCCUCCAAGCUCCAGCUCGCGCGGCUGUUGCUAGCUCCGCCUCGCCACUGCUGCCCGCUGCGCGCCCAAGGCGGGCGCCGCCCCUCUCUCACUCCGCUUCACGGCCAUCAACGAGCUCUACCACCUCCACUACUGUCUGCCACCAGUUCCACCUGUCGCGCCCCUCUUUCGGCCCAUCUCCUCCAGCGUGACAGCUCACCACCAGCUCGCGGCCAAGCCGCACUCCUACGGCCAGAUUCUCCUCCGCGCACGUCGCCAGGAGCUCCGUCGCGCGCCUUUCUCCCUACCGCUCUCCAUCCAGUAGCCGCCACCCAAGGGCACAGCUCCUCCUCGUACGCCUCACCUCAAUUCGCGUGCGCCAAUAGCUCCUCCUCCCCUGCGAACCUUUCUGUCUAGCUAUGCCGUCACCACUUGUCGAUUUCUGACAGGUGGAGGUAUUUGGCAUUUGCAGGUAUCUAUCAAGCUACUAUACUUGGCUGCUGGAGCACGGAUUGCUGCACAAAUGCGGGUCUCAUGCUGGACCAUCACAGGAGAAAGACAAGCUUCUAGAUUACAAGGCUUGUACUUUGAAACAUUGUUAAGACAAGAAAUUGGAUAUUUUGACACCGAAAUGACAGUGGGACAAGCCCUUGGGAUGGCUUCAAGUAAUGCUAUAACCAUUCAAGAUGCAAUGAGUGAAGAGCUCACAACAAGAUUUCCCUGCCUUGGUAUCAUCGACAAGGGGAACCAGAGAGAGAGCCAUGCGAGUGGUGAGCUGCAACUUCCCUGUUCUGUCCGAGAGUGCGUGAGAGAGGAGAUAACCGUGCAAGCUUCAUCAUUUACUUCAUCACUCGAAAGCUGCGGUGUCAUUCUUCACCUUCAACCAUCCGUGAUCAAUAUAACCACAAUCACCACAGCUGCAACUACUGAACUCAGACCAACCAACCCUGCGUGCGUGAGCAAAGCCGAGAGGAGGAAAAUUUUGCAGCUGCUUGUCGUGUGAGCUAAGUCUUAAGCUGAGCUUACCAGGUGAGGAGCCAUACAAGCACUUGCAAAAGUUUGAUAUCGUUUGCAACAGUAUGAAACCCCCGGAAAUUACAGAAGAGCAGAUAAAAAUGAGGGUCUUCCCCUUCUCUUUGAAGGACCCGCGAAAGACUGGUUGUACUACUUACCACCAGGUAGUAUCACCAUGUGGGACCAACUGAAGAAAAAUUUUUUGAACAAGUACUUUCCGGCGUCUCAAGCUGCAAGUCUAAGGAAGGAGAUAUGC